GUUAUUUUUGGCAUUUUUAUUAAUAAAAGAUUGUUAUAUUGCUAUAAGUUUUCAUAUUAGCCUGUUAUUUCACAUAGAGAAUAAAGAAAGUGUUACCAGUAGACUUAUUUGUCCACAGAAAGUACACUUCUUCCCUUUUGCAUUCUGAAAUGAAAUCUUGAAUCUUUUGAGCUUUCAAUUCUGUGCCCACUCUAAGGCUAUAGGUGGGUUGAGGCUGAGAGGGACUGUAGGCCGCUCUUGGUGACAGCUGCUAUGGUGGAAGGGGGCACUUGGCAGGGGUCCAGGGAGCAGGAAACCUCCAGUGAUGGGGAUGAGGUCAUUCAAAAGUCACAUGUUCUUGAGACACAGGCUGCGCGUACUAAACAUCACCAUAAAGUGAUAUCAGCCCUAAAUUAAAGUAGCAGUUAUUCAUUUUUUAUCUGAAUCCCUAAGUCUUGUUCCAUGAAACCAGGGAAGGGCUAUUUGAAAGCAUACUUUCUAGUACAGCUCUCACUGGCUUGAAAGAUGAAACUCUCCUUAGUCAUUCCAAAGCAUUACUGCAGUCCAGAUGUAUAGUUCAUAUCUUCCAGCAAACGUCUGUGGGAAUUAUUUCCUCCCAUUGGUAUUAGAUUAUAUUUUUCCAAGUCAACUCUUCCUGGC
rnacentral:lncRNA from 1 species